rnacentral:rRNA from 1 species
GAUUUCUGGCCUGGUGCGCCUGGCCCGCCAGCCUUGUGCUGUGUGAGUGUCGGUGCGUGCCUGCCAUCCUUCUGUCUGUAUGUUCGACUCUUCAUUGAGCCCGAUCAUGUGGACAGAUCAUUUACUUUGAAAAAAUUAGAGUGUUUAAAGCAGGCGUCUCGCUAUGAAUACAUUAGCAUGGAAUAAUAAGCUAGGACUUCGGUUCUAUUUUGUUGGUUUCUAGGACGGAAGUAAUGAUUGAUAGGGAUAGUUGGGGGUGCUAGUAUUCAGUGGCCAGAGGUGAAAUUCUCGGAUUCACUGAAGACUAACUUAUGCGAAAGCAUU